UAAGUUGGUAGUGAAAUGACGUGGCUCAACCACGUGUCCAUUAUCAAACUGCUAAGCUAGAGUAUAUGAGAGGUAGUUGGAAUUCCUAGUGUAGGAGUGAAAUCCGUAGAUAUUAGGAGGAACACCGAUGGCGUAGGCAGACUACUGGCAUAUUACUGACACUAAGGCACGAAAGCGUGGUAGCAAACGGGAUUAGAUACCCCGGUAGUCCACGCUGUAAACGAUGGAUGCUA
rnacentral:rRNA from 1 species